AGAGUUUGAUCCUGGCUCAGAUUGAACGCUGGCGGCAUGCCUAACACAUGCAAGUCGAACGGAUUCGGGGGCAACCCCGGGUUAGUGGCGGACGGGUGAGGAAUGCGUCGGAAUCUACCCUAUGGUGGGGGAUAACUCAGGGAAACUUGAGCUAAUACCGCAUGAUGUCGAGAGACCAAAGCAGGGGACCGCAAGGCCUUGCGCGAUAGGAUGAGCCGACGCCCGAUUAGCUAGUUGGUAGGGUAAAGGCCUACCAAGGCGACGAUCGGUAGCUGGUCUGAGAGGAUGAUCAGCCACACUGGGACUGAGACACGGCCCAGACUCCUACGGGAGGCAGCAGUGGGGAAUAUUGGACAAUGGGCGCAAGCCUGAUCCAGCAAUGCCGCGUGUGUGAAGAAGGCCUGCGGGUUGUAAAGCACUUUUGUUCGGGAAGAAAGCUUGCUGAUUAAUACCUGGCAAGGAUGACGGUACCGGAAGAAUAAGCACCGGCUAACUUCGUGCCAGCAGCCGCGGUAAUACGAAGGGUGCAAGCGUUAAUCGGAAUUACUGGGCGUAAAGGGAGCGUAGGCGGCUUUUUAAGUCGGAUGUGAAAUCCCCGGGCUUAACCUGGGAAUGGCAUCCGAUACUGGGGAGCUAGAGUUUGGGAGAGGGUGAUGGAAUUCCCGGUGUAGCGGUGAAAUGCGUAGAGAUCGGGAGGAACAUCAGUGGCGAAGGCGGUCACCUGGCCUAAAACUGACGCUGAGGCUCGAAAGCGUGGGGAGCAAACAGGAUUAGAUACCCUGGUAGUCC
rnacentral:rRNA from 1 species